UUUUGGACUUGCUCUGCAUGACGGGCUCCCCGUGCUUAUGUGCGCGGCCAACCGACAUGGGGCUGUCUCUUCACUAUCCCUCCCGUCAGCACAUUUGUCGGGUUGGGAUGCUCGUUAUCGGCUGCCUGUGUGGUCCUACCCUUUUUUGGGUAGCAAAGUUGUCCCUCGAUAGAUUUUUGCUUGCCCUGCUGACAUGACAUUGUUUUGUCGCUCGGGCAGCCGAAAUGUCGGUAGAAUCCCUGUGUUGUCGCGCGGGCGAAUGCCCGUGUUAUUAUUGCUUGGAUUUUUGCCGGCUCUCACGGAUGCUGUGCCCCCAUUGUUAGCCCUGCGGGUCUUCUGUCCCGCAGGCUUCGGGAGGUCCCUUGCAUGGAUCAUUGCUCUGGCGCUUGACUGUCAUGUCGUCGAUGCCGACAUGUCAAAUCUUUGCGCGAGGACUGUGCUCACGUGCAUGUGGAAGGAAUGCCUCUCCGAUUGUAUGAGCAGCGAUUGGCGGUUUGCGUCAUGAGAAGGGCCUCCUGUCCGGGUUGGUGCUGGAAAUGACGCGCCGGCUCUCGUUUAAGACGUGC
rnacentral:misc_RNA from 1 species